AGCCGCCGCCCGGCCUCACCACCCCUCGCUUGCACGCACGCACGUUCAUUCUCCGUCCUCGCGCCCCUUUUCCUACACUUUCCUCUUCUCCCCGGUCGAAGAGCCGCUCUCUUCGCGCGGUGCAUUCUGGGGAUCUAGGUCGAGCCCGCUGCCGCCGUCGCCUAAGGAGAGCGACUAGAGGCCGCGAUUGGGGAGAAAACGCCGGAGUCGCCAUCGGAGAGGAGCCGAUUCCCCAGCCGCCGCUGCCAGAGAGGCCCGCCUACCCGUUCGCCCGUCCCCCUGCCCCGUUCACAAUUUUUUCGGCGGACACAACAUCUUUUGUUUGUAUGUGGUGCUGAGGAUCGAACCCGGGCUGCACACAUGCCAGGCGAGUGCGCUACUGCUUG
rnacentral:lncRNA from 1 species